GCCAAACUGAGUGUGACGACAAGGCUGCCGGGUCCUGUGAUGUGUGCUACCUGGGAUUUCCUGUCUGCCAUGGGUUACUGUGACGUCACUAUUUUGGUGUGAGCGCCAUCUUUUGGCCAACUUGGACUACUUCAAUUCUUCCUUCAGUCCAUGAGGAGGAACCACAGAGACAUGGAAACAUGAUGCCUCUGACUGUUGUGGG